UAGGGAAUCUUCGGCAAUGGACGAAAGUCUGACCGAGCAACGCCGCGUGAGUGAAGAAGGUUUUCGGAUCGUAAAACUCUGUUGGUAGAGAAGAACGUUGGUGAGAGUGGAAAGCUCAUCAGGUGACGGUAACUACCCAGAAAGGGACGGCUAACUACGUGCCAG
rnacentral:rRNA from 1 species